GUGCUCUCUCUGGCAGUACAAAUACUCAGAUUGGAACGAUGCAGAGAUUAGCCUGGACCCUGCAUGAGGCUGACAUGCAAAUUCGUGUAGUGUUCCAUUAAAAA